GGGUCAGUAGGUUGGUCGUGCCACCGGUACGUACUGGUCUCACUGAUUCCUCCUUCCUGAAGAACCGUAAUGCCAUUAAUUUGGUGUUGCGGGGAAACAGGACUGUUACUUUGAAAAAAUUAGAGUGUGUAAUGCAAGCUAACGCUUGAAUACAUUAGCAUGGAAUAAUGAAAUAGGACGAUCGAUCCUAUUUUGUUGGUUUCUAGGAUUGACGUA
rnacentral:rRNA from 1 species